GUAUAGAUGUCAUCCUUCGAUUCCUUUCGUUGGUUUCGAGGCGGCAGUCGCUCUCUCUAUAUAUACCCCCACAAACAUACGCGCAACGCAUCCAACGGCUCUGAAUAGGGUUUCGUUUAUACUAACUCCAUGGCGAUUUCAUCAGAUAAAAAUGGCGACGGAGACGAAGAAGAAGACGACGAUAGCGAAAACGAAUACCAUCGUGUUUUCGACUAUUGCUUCAGUGAUUUACCAAAGGUUUACCCCUACUUCGGUCCCAUUCUUUACAUCGUCUGAACCCUGGAUCUGGUUGUCUCAGGGGAUUCAGAGCAUUGAUGUAAAGAGAUGGUCUGGAGAGAAUUUUGGGGCAAAGGAUUGCUGCAGAUAAUGCUGAAGCGACUGGCUUUAAAUACUAGAAGGUUCUUGCCCGAUGUGGCUGGUGGUGAUGGUGGAAUAUAUUGAUGCUUACUGCACAAAUGCAAGUAUGUUGAGAGGUUUUGGGGGGAAAGAUGGUUGUAGAAUGGCUACUUAAUGUUCUAUCUCGACCUCCGAUCAUGGAGGCAACCAUAGGGGAUCAACUGUGCUGGGAAAUGGGCAAUGUCAGUGGUUCAAGUAUACCGAAAAAAUGACACAUAUGGUGAUUCCAUUAUGUUGGAGGUGGUUGACAAUGCAUAAUUGAGGCGAUACGCUCGAGGUGUCGUGGUGAUGGAACAACUUGAUGAUGCUCGUUUACAUAGUGGCAACUAAGACCAGUGAGAGACUUCUGGACAAAACAAGGUUGCUGAGUGACUACUCAAUUUGUUCUCUCCUCUAUAUCGGAUAAAGUAGCUUGUUCAAGUAUGUCGAAAAUAUAACCGUGGUACUAAUUCCCAUAUGUUUGAGGUGAUCGACUAGGAUCAUAUCAUCGACUUUCAAUAACAAUCACCAUUGAAAAUUGAAGAUGUUGCUAGUGACUAUGUAUGGAAUGUAUACAUAUGUUUGUAGUUACGUAUGUCUUGUAAUGGGAAGAAUUAUGUUCUCUCCUAUGUUAGUCGUUCAACCUAACUAAUCAAGUCAAUUGUUGCUUUCAUGAUAUAAACGAUAGUACUACCUUGUCAUAUUUUGGUUUAGAAGGCGUGCGCUCGCGUGCAUAGGCACUAAAGCGAGGCGAGGCGCACUGAAAAGGCCUCGGCACCCUGAGGUGAGGCGUAUGUACAUGAAGUAGAGAUAAGGCCCUUGAGGCACAUGCCUCACGAUGAGGUGUGUGGCGCAUGAGGCUAGAAGCUCACAAUUUUUCUUAGAUCUGCGCUCAAAUUUCUUCAUAUUUCAAACUAAAAAGGCUCUAAUCCCUCUAUGAACCAAAUGAAACACAUAAGCCAAACUGUUUAAGUCUUGAAAAAAACUUAGCCAAUGUGGAGUGUUAUGAAUCAAAUGACAAAGAUGAUGAAGUAAUUGGUGUUGAAGAUUAGGUGACCAUGAUUAGAUAGUUGAGUGCCACUAUCCAUGUUACUAUGUGAUCGAACUAAAUGUUAUGCAUUAGAUUUUUAUGGAUGUAAUGAUUUUCUUCGUAUUUGGUGAUUUGAACAUUGGGAAUGCUGUAAUUUAUGGUGUUUGAAAUUGUGGAAAGCAUUUACUUAUGUUCAAUUUUUUCCCUAUAUUAGAUGUGUAAUUAUUUUUUACUUCUUCUGCCUCACUUUGAUGAGGCAUGCGCCUUGCCUUGCGCCUAUGUGUACAUAGAGCCUUUUAAAACACUACCUUGUCAAUUAAUUGACAUGGGAUUCUAUAGCUAUUUUUUUUGAACGUAUAGUUGACUGUGUAGUGCAAAAAUACAAAGAAAGGUACUCAAUUAGCCAAUCCCAAUUGAAUUGAAUGAAGCUUAAUUUUAAUUUGGUUAACAAAGGUUCUAAAAGUAGCUAGGCACUGGUUGGGCGGCCGGGCACUAGCGCCUAGGCCGGUUAAUCGGUGCCUAUUGCCCUAGACAUUAGGCGGAUUUUCCAUUUUUUAAAAUUUUUUUUAGAGUCCUACCUCCUCCCCAAGUUUGAGAGCAAAUACAAACAUAAGUAGAACAAAAUAUUAAUAACAUGAAAACUAAGUAAUAAUGCGAAGUUCAACAUCCAAAGUUCAACCAAAUGAAACUAGUAGUACCAAAUAGCUAGUCUAAUGAGAAGUUUUGAUAUUCAAGGCUUUUGAAAUUUUUUAUCGUGUAAGAGAAUUGGAAAGAUUGGAAAUGUAUUUACAUCAUAGUAAAACUACACCAAAGCCUGUUAUAGUAUAUUACCACAACACGAAAAUCCUUAAUUUUUUAAAGUCACAUCGCCUACCCGCCUAAUCCGCCUAGCCCCACCUGGUCGCGUAAUCUCGCCUAGUUGCCUAGCUCGCCCAGCCAAUUAAUCUUGCCUAGCGGCCGAUUCAUCGGCCUGGCUGCGGUGUACCGCCUAGGUCGACUUUUAGAACAUUGUGGUUAACCUACUCUGACAAGGCUUAAUUUGGUUUUGGGUUUCAUAAAACCUUACGUGUGUUUUCUUGAUAUUGUAACGUUUAGUCCGAUAAGAGAAGGAUAUUGGUGGGAUUUGGGAUGCUUUAAAUGUGAUCUAAUCUAUCGAACGACUCUUACUCUUUUUAAAUUGCUAAUGGCAAUAAUUCUAAAACCACACACAAACUCUCUCACAUUACAUGUGGGCCCCCACACCAUUGGAGGUGUGUAAUGUGUGUGGACCCUACAUGUGAUGUGAAUGAGUUUGUAUGUGGUUGUAGCAAAACUCUUGAAAAUGGACCCAACAACACAACAUGCUAUUCAGCAGCAGCAGCCGCGCACAUGUUUUUUUCUUAGGACAAGUUGACAAGACCCCACAUAUAUAUUACUGAUGCAAUCAAAUAUCGAAAGGGAAGAAUUAAAUAGAUCAGAGAACUCUCCUAACACCAAGGACACUAAAAGACACAAAUGACCCUAUAUUAUACUGCAUCAAUUACGCCCACCCAACCUUCACCCCCUAGCAAUAUUUAGUUCGAUGAAUGUGAACAUUAGUGUAUUUAUUGACACGUAGGCCGAUAUGUAAAUCUAUGACCCUGUUCGUUUUGGGAUUUUGGAUUUGGAUUUGUAGGUAAUGAGUGUAGAGAGAAAUACAGUAAUGAUUGGAAAUAUGUGUAAUGAUUGGAGAGAGAUAAAGAGAAAAAUGAGCGUAAUGAUUGGAGAGAAAUAGUAUAAUGAUUAGAAUCCAAAAUCCAAAAGCCUUAAACGAACGGGAUUAUGUGUUUGAACUUUAAGUCCGCAUGAAUACAGUUUUUACAAUCUUCUUUCCACAAUUGAUUAUUUCACAUGUCGUGUUCGAUGUAAAGUUACAUAUUUUCUUCCUAAAAGUUGACUUCUUGUUUAAAACUUGGAAAAUGUAAGACUAUUAGAAUUUUGACCUUUGUUGGAAGUCCAUAAUAGAGCAAAGAUCAGUUCUAAUAAUUACAAAUCUAUAUUAUAUCAUUGGAAAAGUAGCGAAACGUAUAAAAGAAAAUAUCACUUCUUUUUGCCUGUUUCGCAAUUUUAUGGUUGGAAAUUGACUUCUCUAACUUGUUUGUACAUUGAUACUUCAAACCUUGUCAGUUCAACUUCUUGACUUUCUUAUGAGGCCUAAGGAGAGUUUUUGCAAGAAAGUAGUUUUAGAAUGUAGAAAAGCAUGAUGUAAAAUCCCAGUCUUUUAUAGCACCUUAGUUGCAUGAAGUGGGAACGGGAGUUGGAAGUCCAUAAUAGAACAAAGAUCAGUGCUAAUAAUUACAAAUCUAUAAUAUAUCAU